AAGCGUUGUCCGGAUUCAUUGGGCGUAAAGAGCGUGUAGGCGGCCAGGUAGGUCUGCUGUGAAAACUCGAGGCUUAACCUCGAGAUGUCGGCGGAAACCAUCUGGCUAGAGUCCGGAAGAGGAGAGUGGAAUUCCUGGUGUAGCGGUGAAAUGCGCAGAUAUCAGGAAGAACACCCGUGGCGAAGGCGGCUCUCUGGGACGGUACUGACGCUGAGACGCGAAAGCGUGGGGAGCGAACAGG
rnacentral:rRNA from 1 species